rnacentral:rRNA from 1 species
UACGUAGGGGCCUAGCGUUGUCCGGAAUUAUUGGGCGUAAAGAGCUCGUAGGCGGUUCGGCAAGUCGGAUGUGAAAUCUCCACGCUUAACGUGGAGGGGCCAUUCGAAACUGCUGUGACUCGAGUCCGGUAGGGGAGUGUGGAAUUCCCGGUGUAGCGGUGGAAUGCGCAGAUAUCAGGAGGAACACCGGUGGCGAAGGCGGAUCUCUGGGCCAUUACUGACGCUGAGGAGCGAAAGCGUGGGGAGCGAACAGG